UGGGGAAUUUUGCACAAUGGGGGAAACCCUGAUACAGCGACGCCGCGUGAUUUAGAAGGCCUUCGGGUUGUAAAAAUCUUUUCUAUGGGAAGAAAAUGACAGUACCAUAGGAAUAAGGACCGGCUAAUUACGUGCCAGCAGCCGCGGUAAUACGUAAGGUCCGAGCGUUGUCCGGAAUCAUUGGGCGUAAAGGGUACGUAGGCGGGUAAGCAAGUUAGAAGUGAAAUCCUAUAGCUCAACUAUAGUAAGCUUUUAAAACUGCUCAUCUUGAGGCAUGGAAGGGAAAGUGGAAUUCCUAGUGUAGCGGUGAAAUGCGCAGAUAUUAGGAGGAAUACCGGUGGCGAAGGCGACUUUCUGGCCAUAACCUGACGCUGAGGUACGAAAGCGUGGGUAGCAAACAGG
rnacentral:rRNA from 1 species